rnacentral:misc_RNA from 1 species
AUGAGUCGCUAUCGUCGACAGUUCCCCAGUGUUUAGGUGUCAUGCCUAUCUGGCGUACGAAGCGAUGUUCGUGGUAGCUCGCUCCACAGAGCCUCUCGCGACGCUCUGGAUGCACGACACUUUGUCGGUUGUCGAUCGAGACGUUCAAGCGUCGGUGCAGAGAACGCCUAGCGCCGUGCGCUACCAAGUCCACGACCCGACGUGUCGUUCAUUUCCGUUCCCAAACCGGUGCAGAAGCUUUCUCUCGAUUGCACGCUUCCUGGCUCCGGAUGACCGAGACCGGGGCGACUCCAGCGCCGUCGUCAUGGACGUCUGCCACGGGAUGCUCGUGUGACCUCUCUGGAAGCUCCUGUACGGACUGCAUGGAGCGUGCAAGGCAUCCCGCGCUGCUCAGCCCGGUGCGUAGCGUGUCGGGUGAGCACCCGGCGCCUGCAUGUUGCUUCUUUGUAUGCCACGUGGCGUCCACAGCGCUCGACUUUCGAAGAUUCCGGGCACAGGUCGAGCUGAGCAGCUCCGUCUGGUUUGCUGGUCAGGCGUUCGGCUCCGUGCUUUUGGUUGCUCCGUGUGCGGCGACAGCCGUGAAGCGCCUUACCCGCGGAUAAACGCUGAAACCAGAAUCUUUUUCCUGGUCUACCUGGAUCGGUUGAGAAAGAGUCUCGUUGCGCACCGCUGGGCGAGGCCUCACCAAGUGCAUCCAGACUGAUGGUUUGUCGCUCUGCAUGCUCCCGCAGACCGUUCUUCAUUUCCUGGGAGUAAACGAGAAACAUGGAAUGAGCGCAACAGACGCUGUUUGCGAAUCUGUUCCAAUGCAUCGUCGUUUCUUGCCAAGACCAGCUGCAGCUCACAGAGAAGGCCGUACAGGCCGCUGCGCCAGUGUGUGGAGUACGCGAACAGGCAUUUAUGUAGGACAGGGGCACCACAUCGAAUAGAAGCCCGCUGAGCAUGUUAUGCUGGCAUACUAUGAGCGCGUCCGCUUUAAGCUUGAGUGCUCUAUUCAUGAAAGCAUAUUCGCACAAACUGUUGCGAAGCCGCGGCAGCCAUGUCAGCUACCCUGCGGGUAAGGAGUCGAAAGAUCCGUCAUCCUGAGCAGCGCAAUGAACUUGGAGAAUUCGCUGCGAGUCUCGCUCUCAUUGCGAGUUCUCUGUGGAACUCGGUACCUCCUCGAUGUGUCGCGUUACCAGCGCGUCAUUGACCCCCCAUGGACACGCUCAGGAAUCCUUGCCAUCAGUUCCCAUUGUUCACGGUCAGCAGCGUAUGCAUAUAAUGCCCAGUGGGUGCGCCUCAUAAAGCGCUUCGACACUGACCUGCUUAUGCUUUUGGUCAGUGAAGCUGGAUGGAUACUUUUGGCAGCUGCCCUGUACCGCUUUUUUCGAUCACCGACAAGACGCAGCGAUGUGUCAAGGUAUGCUCAGAGGCGUUUGCAUGAGAAUCUGAUCCUCCGAUCAGGCCGUCUUGUAUCCCCUGUAACGAGAAUCAGCUGUGCUGCUUCACAGAGGUCUGAUCGAAGAAUUCCAGGCGAAUAUGACCGGUUGGCAGCGCAGUGUCCAGAACUCCUCCGAAGACCUGCUCGGCGACAUAUGUGAAGACGAAAGCACCGAGGCGUUCAUUCGUUGAAUUAGAAGCUGUACGAUCUCGAAUGUUUUUCCUGCAUUGUUUCGUGUCAUUGGUGCGAACAGCUCAUCUACGGAUCCGGAAGCGGAAAAUUUGCAUUCGACAUCAUCGAAUCAGAGAGAAUAUACGAGAACAAUGUGCAGUUGAGCGCCAGUCCUAAACG